rnacentral:rRNA from 1 species
UACGUAGGGUGCGAGCGUUAAUCGGAAUUACUGGGCGUAAAGCGUGCGCAGGCGGUCUGCUAAGACAGGUGUGAAAUCCCUGGGCUCAACCUAGGAAUUGCGCUUGUGACUGGCAGGCUAGAGUACGGUAGAGGGGGGUGGAAUUCCUGGUGUAGCAGUGAAAUGCGUAGAGAUCAGGAGGAACACCGAUGGCGAAGGCAGCCCCCUGGGCCUGUACUGACGCUCAGGCAAGAAAGCGUGGGGAGCAAACAGG